GAAGAGAUCAACGGCUAACUGGGUGCUGCAAUGAGGAACGAAAAAGCAAUCUGCCUCAAAUGUUCCCUUUUAUAAGGUUUCCUGGCCUCAUGUCAUCCUUUGCAGACUGCACUGCCAUUUUGAAGGUCUCUAGGUUUUAUAAGAAUUGUGCCCUAUCCUAGGCUGGCUUCUGGCUCGUACUGUUUUGAUGGGAUGGGUUUUGACUCCUUGAACUGAAGAAAAAGUGAAACUGGUGGUGGGCUGGAUUCUGUGAGUCUUACUGGCUGAAGGAGCCCACUUCUGCUGUCCUGCAGUGUUCUCCAUUAUUGUUUUGGAGUUAUGUGCACAUCCUGGACUUCAUAGUUUCCUGAGGGGACUUGAAAAUACAGACCCUUAUUCUUGCUAUUAAAGUGUCCAGAGUGCAUCCCAUAGUUGAGUCUGCCCAUUAAUUGGCUUGUUGUUUCAGUGGGCCUCUCGUGAACUGAUGUUACCAGGCCAGCACAGCAGAAUGUAGAAAAUCACACUGGCCAUCUCUUGGGGGGUAAAGAAGAUGUGAAGGAUGUCACUUUCCACAUUAAAGGAAUGCAGUGUUGUAAGGAAAAUAGCCUGUUAUGCCAUUUUUAAUCUCUUUUUGGUACAAGACCAGUCCCUCCGGUCAUUGAUGUGAUCCCCCAGUACUUUUUAGUUGACUUAGGAGACAGACUUAGUGACUGGACCACAACUCUUCAGUGCAGUCCUUGGCUUUGCUGAUGUUUAAAUGCAGACAAGCCUCUCUAGAUAAAGAAACCAAGUUCUCCACCUGACUCCUAUACUGUCUCAUUCCCCUUAUUGAUUUACCCCAUCAGUAUAAAGGUAGCUUCAGUAUUUGUGGGUGGAAGAUAGACCAACAUGAGGAAUGCAUUAAAUGUAAGACAUUAUGCUGAUGGUGCUGAGUGUCAUUCACACUACAAGGAGGAAGAAACACUAAAUUAGAAAAAGCCACUAAAACCUCUACUCCUGCAGUGUGAAGCCAUGUGGAUUGUCUCCUGCUGUUUAGAGGUAGAGGAUCACAGAUGUUUUGGUUUUUUACUAGUGGUCGCAACCCUCUUAACUGCCACUUCCAGAAGGAGAAAAAUGGCACAUUUCAAACAUAAGCAUGUGGGGUAUCAUUUAGUCUUAAAGGUCUGUGAUUAUGAAUAUGAUGAUAUUGAAUUUUGAUACUUUUCUAGGGGCCUUGUCCCUCUAUGGCCCUCUGUUAGAGGGUGGAAAAAUGGCAAACGUCUAUUGCAAUCAAAUAUUUACACUUUAAGCUCACAUUUCAAUAUAUCAAAUUUGACAACACUAUCUUGUAUACUUCUGCCAUCCAGUAAACCCAAAUUGGG